rnacentral:rRNA from 1 species
CGGCGGACGGGUGAGUAACGCGUGGGUAACCUGCCUCAUACAGGGGGAGUAACAGUUGGAAACGGCUGCUAAUACCGCAUAAGCGCACAGUACCGCAUGGUACGGUGUGAAAAACUCCGGUGGUGUGAGAUGGACCCGCGUUUGAUUAGCUAGUUGGUGGGGUAACGGCCUACCAAGGCGACGAUCAAUAGCCGACCUGAGAGGGUGACCGGCCGCAUUGGGACUGAGACACGGCCCAAACUCCUACGGGAGGCAGCAUG